rnacentral:misc_RNA from 1 species
GAUGAAGAACGUAGCGAAAUGCGAUAAGUAGUGUGAAUUGCAGAAUUCAGUGAAUCAUCGAAUCUUUGAACGCACAUUGCGCCCCUUGGUAUCCCGAGGGGCAUGCCUGUUCGAGCGUCAUUUCACCACUCAAGCCUGGCUUGGUGUUGGGCGACGUCCCCUUUGGGGACGCGCCUCGAAACGCUCGGCGGCGUGGCACCGGCUUUAAGCGUAGCAGGAUCUUUCGCUUUGGAAGUCGGGGCCCCGUCUGCCGGAAGACCUACUCGCAAGGUUGACCUCGGAUCAGGCAGGGAUACCCGCUGAACUUAAGCAUAUCAAUAAGCGGAGGA